GAUGAACGCUGGCGGCGUGCCUAAUACAUGCAAGUCGAGCGAACAGACGAGGAGCUUGCUCCUCUGACGUUAGCGGCGGACGGGUGAGUAACACGUGGAUAACCUACCUAUAAGACUGGGAUAACUUCGGGAAACCGGAGCUAAUACCGGAUAAUAUAUUGAACCGCAUGGUUCAAUAGUGAAAGACGGUUUUGCUGUCACUUAUAGAUGGAUCCGCGCCGCAUUAGCUAGUUGGUAAGGUAACGGCUUACCAAGGCGACGAUGCGUAGCCGACCUGAGAGGGUGAACGGCCAACCGUGAACUGAGGCACGGUCCAAACUCCUACGGGAGGCAGCAGUAGGGAAUCUUACGCAAUGGGCGAAAGGCUGACGGAGCAAAGCCGGGUGAGGGAUGAAGGUCUUCGGAUCGUAAAACUCUGUUAAUAGGGAAGAACAAAUGUGUAAGUAACUAUGCACGUCUUGACGGUACCUAAUCAGAAAGCCACGGCUAACUACGUG
rnacentral:rRNA from 1 species